GUAAAUCCAGUAAAUCGUAAUUAAUACUAAAUGCGUCUUUAAAAGUAAAGAAGAGAAAAAUCAAAAAGGCUCUAACCUAACAAUCGCCCGUCCCAGUUCCAGGCAUUUCGAUAACUCGUUAACAAAAAUCAGAUUAUUCUACUGUUAAAAUGUAUGGAUUAUCCUUUUGUAAUUGUCUAAUACACACUAGACCCUUCAGAUUUAGUAAAACUGUAGCUGUAAACCAGUUAUGUGUGUUCAUUACUAUACAUGGAAGAAGUAUUGUGUUUAUCAACAAGGUUAAUUGUAGGCCUUUAAAUUUUGCUUAAUAUGGUCAUAUUUUGUAAUAUUCAACUCAUAAUUGUUGAUACUUCUGGUGGAUGAUGUUCAAUUUUAUACAUGUAUAAAAUAUAAACACACUAAAUUGAAGUACUAGAAACGAAUAUCUACAGCUGUGUAUAACCUCUAAGAAACAAAUUAAAUGAACAAAACUAUGUCCAAGAAAUAGUCUAUUGUAUAGAGGAUUUAAGGAAAACCUUAAAAUGUUUGUACAAUUUGUUAUUGAAUUUCUUCUAGGUUUCUGCAUCUUCGGUCAGUGAAAGUUAAAAGUUUAAAAAUACAGGGAUACUUAAUCAUUAAUUAAUCUUAAUUAUUCUUUUUUGAGAUAUAGGCACUAUAGGCAGCAAAAUAUUAGCCUUAUAAUCCCGGAAGCUGUGGCCAAUAAUUUAAAUGAUAAAUAAUUGUAAAUUGUUUAUACAUAUAUAAAUCACUUGUUUUAAAAUAAAAAAUUGGCAUUUUAAA